CAGCAGCCGCGGGAAUACGGAGGGUGCAAGCGUUAUCCGGAUUUAUUGGGUUUAAAGGGUCCGUAGGCGGAUCUGUAAGUCAGUGGUGAAAUCUCACAGCUUAACUGUGAAACUGCCAUUGAUACUGCAGGUCUUGAGUAAAUUUGAAGUGGCUGGAAUAAGUAGUGUAGCGGUGAAAUGCAUAGAUAUUACUUAGAACACCAAUUGCGAAGGCAGGUCACUAAGAUUUAACUGACGCUGAUGGACGAAAGCGUGGGGAGCGAACAGGAUUAGAUACCCGCGUAUCCCUGUCUCUUAUACC
rnacentral:rRNA from 1 species